CGUAUCACUUAAAGCGAUUCAGCGGGUUACGAUUGACGGAGCGAAGCGACGUCAAAGCGUAUACAAAGUCGAGUCGGUUUAAGGAUACGUUCGUUGGGUAGGGGAGCGUUCUGUAAGCCUGUGAAGGUGUGUCGUGAGGCAUGCUGGAGGUAUCAGAAGUGCGAAUGCUGACAUAAGUAACGAUAAAGCGGGUGAAAAGCCCGCUCGCCGGAAGACCAAGGGUUCCUGUCCAACGUUAAUCGGGGCAGGGUGAGUCGACCCCUAAGGCGAGGCCGAAAGGCGUAGUCGAUGGGAAACGGGUUAAUAUUCCCGUACUUGGUGUUACUGCGAAGGGGGGACGGAGAAGGCUAUGUUGGCCGGGCGACGGUUGUCCCGGUUUAAGCGUGUAGGUGUGUGUUCCAGGUAAAUCCGGUUCACUUUAACACUGAGGCGUGACGACGAGGCACUACGGUGCUGAAGCAACAAAUGCCCUGCUUCCAGGAAAAGCCUCUAAGCAUCAGGUAACAUCAAAUCGUACCCCAAACCGACACAGGUGGUCAGGUAGAGAAUACCAAGGCGCUUGAGAGAACUCGGGUGAAGGAACUAGGCAAAAUGGUGCCGUAACUUCGGGAGAAGGCACGCUGACACGUAGGUGAAGUGAUUUACUCAUGGAGCUGAAGUCAGUCGAAGAUACCAGCUGGCUGCAACUGUUUAUUAAAAACACAGCACUGUGCAAACACGAAAGUGGACGUAUACGGUGUGACGCCUGCCCGGUGCCGGAAGGUUAAUUGAUGGGGUCAGCGCAAGCGAAGCUCCUGAUCGAAGCCCCGGUAAACGGCGGCCGUAACUAUAACGGUCCUAAGGUAGCGAAAUUCCUUGUCGGGUAAGUUCCGACCUGCACGAAUGGCGUAAUGAUGGCCAGGCUGUCUCCACCCGAGACUCAGUGAAAUUGAACUCGCUGUGAAGAUGCAGUGUACCCGCGGCAAGACGGAAAGACCCCGUGAACCUUUACUAUAGCUUGACACUGAACAUUGAGCCUUGAUGUGUAGGAUAGGUGGGAGGCUUUGAAGUGUGGACGCCAGUCUGCAUGGAGCCGACCUUGAAAUACCACCCUUUAAUGUUUGAUGUUCUAACGUGGACCCGUAAUCCGGGUUGCGGACAGUGUCUGGUGGGUAGUUUGACUGGGGCGGUCUCCUCCUAAAGAGUAACGGAGGAGCACGAAGGUUGGCUAAUCCUGGUCGGACAUCAGGAGGUUAGUGCAAUGGCAUAAGCCAGCUUGACUGCGAGCGUGACGGCGCGAGCAGGUGCGAAAGCAGGUCAUAGUGAUCCGGUGGUUCUGAAUGGAAGGGCCAUCGCUCAACGGAUAAAAGGUACUCCGGGGAUAACAGGCUGAUACCGCCCAAGAGUUCAUAUCGACGGCGGUGUUUGGCACCUCGAUGUCGGCUCAUCACAUCCUGGGGCUGAAGUAGGUCCCAAGGGUAUGGCUGUUCGCCAUUUAAAGUGGUACGCGAGCUGGGUUUAGAACGUCGUGAGACAGUUCGGUCCCUAUCUGCCGUGGGCGCUGGAGAACUGAGGGGGGCUGCUCCUAGUACGAGAGGACCGGAGUGGACGCAUCACUGGUGUUCGGGUUGUCAUGCCAAUGGCACUGCCCGGUAGCUAAAUGCGGAAGAGAUAAGUGCUGAAAGCAUCUAAGCACGAAACUUGCCCCGAGAUGAGUUCUCCCUGAGACUUUAAGUCUCCUGAAGGAACGUUGAAGACGACGACGUUGAUAGGCCGGGUGUGUAAGCGCAGCGAUGCGUUGAGCUAACCGGUACUAAUGAA
rnacentral:rRNA from 1 species